rnacentral:rRNA from 1 species
AUUGAACGCUGGCGGCAUGCUUUACACGUGCAAGUCGAACGGUAACAGGCCGCCAGGUGCUGACGAGUGGCGCACGGGUGAGUAAUGCAUCGGAACGUGCCCAGUCGUGGGGGAUAACUACUCGCAAGAGUAGCUAAUACCGCAUACGAUCUAUGGAUGAAAGCGGGGGACCGUAAGGCCUCGCGCGAUUGGAGCGGCCGAUGUCAGAUUAGGUAGUUGGUGGGGUAAAGGCUCACCAAGCCAACGAUCUGUAGCUGGACUGAGAGGACGACCAGCCACACUGGGACUGAGACACGGCCCAGACUCCUACGGGAGGCAGCAGUGGGGAAUGUUGGACAAUGGGCGCAAGCCUGAUCCAGCAAUGCCGCGUGCAGGAAGAAGGCCUUCGGGUUGUAAACUGCUUUUGUACGGAACGAAACGGCUCUGGUUAAUACCCGGGGCUAAUGACGGUACCGUAAGAAUAAGCACCGGCUAACUACGUG